CGGCUAUGUGCAGGGACGUUCA
rnacentral:siRNA from 1 species